rnacentral:lncRNA from 1 species
GGUGGGAAGGGGGAGGGGCAGGCGGGGUUGGGGGCGGGGCGGGCGAGGGGGCUGCACACACCAGCCCCCAGUGCAGUGCGUCCAGCGCUUGUCCGUCUGGUCGCUUGGCUUCUGAGCCGCGUGAAGGGAAUCUUGCCCAGGGUGGAACUGGCCCCAGGACACCAGUGGCUGGCCGGCUUCCCUGGGGCGCGAGCUCCGUGUGGGGGGUUGGGCGGGGUGGACGGUGGGAGGGUGGGUCCUUUGUUCGGGUGACUCAGUCACAGAGGCUCAUGGGCACCUGCCAGAUGCCUGAUGCUUCAGCUGGGGCAGGAGGCAAUCACCCGGUCACCACCUCCUGACGCAGACCCUCGUGUGACCUCCACUGCGCUGCCCACUGUGCUCACGGUCUUCGGUUUGCGCUGGGGGGAGGCUGGCACUUGCUCCUAAUCCCAGGGCUGCGGUGGAGCUGGUGGGGACACUGCCCUCUCUGUGGGCCUUUGGAAGCAAGUGUGGGCAAUGUCCUGUGGGCCACAUGGAGGCCAGUCCUUCCCGGCCGGCUGCCUUCAUAUGGCCCCGGCUGCCGCUUGUCUGUGUCUCUGGCUCAUUUUGUGUGAGUGGAGCUGGCGAUGGAAGCCGUCCGUGCGUGCUAGGGAGGUGCCCCCCGCGAGCACGCGCAGUCUCACCCAGCGCUUUUGGUUUUGGCUGACAGACCUUGGACUCCUGGGUUCCUGUGAUCCUCGUUUAGGCUUUGGGGGGCUUUUCGUGUGUGUGUGUGCGUGUGUGUGUGCGGGCCCGCUCUGUACUGAGGAUUGAACCCAGGGGUGCUUAACCACCCACAUCCUCAGCCUUUUUUAUUUUUUUAUUUUGAGGUGGGGCUUUGCUAAGUUGCUGAGGGUGGGGUCGCACUUGCGGUCGUCCUGUCUCUGCCUGCCCCGUCUCUGGGAUGGCGGGCGUGUGCUGUGUGGCUGGGUCCAGUGUUUUCUGCUUUUCGCUUUCCUUGCGCUCUCCUCGGAGGUGACAGUGGCGAUUCUGUUGCCUUAAGCCAGGGAAUUUGGGAGUAAGGUGUCAUGCAGCACUGAAACAUACACGGGCAGAACGCACCUCGGAAGGCCCCCUGCACCUCAGCCCCUCGCUCUCACCAUGGUUACCCCCUUGUCCAGGGAGCAUUCAUUUUACUUAUUUUUUAUUAUUGUACCUAAUACAAUAAAAAUACAUUGUAUACAAUACUUAUUUAUUA